rnacentral:tRNA from 1 species
GGCCUCGUAGCUCAGUUGGCUGGAGCGUUGGCUGUCUGAAGCAUUCCCCUUGCCGGCGUGGGAUCAAAUCCCACCGAGGCCG